AGAGUUUGAUCCUGGCUCAGAGCGAACGCUGGCGGCAGGCUUAACACAUGCAAGUCGAGCGGGCGUAGCAAUACGUCAGCGGCAGACGGGUGAGUAACGCGUGGGAACAUACCUUUUGGUUCGGAACAACACAGGGAAACUUGUGCUAAUACCGGAUAAGCCCUUACGGGGAAAGAUUUAUCGCCGAAAGAUUGGCCCGCGUCUGAUUAGCUAGUUGGUAGGGUAAUGGCCUACCAAGGCGACGAUCAGUAGCUGGUCUGAGAGGAUGAUCAGCCACAUUGGGACUGAGACACGGCCCAAACUCCUACGGGAGGCAGCAGUGGGGAAUAUUGGACAAUGGGGGCAACCCUGAUCCAGCCAUGCCGCGUGAGUGAUGAAGGCCCUAGGGUUGUAAAGCUCUUUUGUGCGGGAAGAU
rnacentral:rRNA from 1 species